rnacentral:rRNA from 1 species
CCUACGGGUGGCAGCAGUGGGGAAUAUUGCACAAUGGGGGAAACCCUGAUGCAGCAACGCCGCGUGAAGGAAGACGGUUUUCGGAUUGUAAACUUCUAUCAAUAGGGAAGAAAGAAAUGACGGUACCUAAAUAAGAAGCCCCGGCUAACUACGUGCCAGCAGCCGCGGUAAUACGUAGGGGGCAAGCGUUAUCCGGAAUUACUGGGUGUAAAGGGAGAGUAGGCGGCAAGGUAAGCGAUAUGUGAAAGCCUUAAGCUUAACUUAAGGAUGGCAUAACGAACUAUCUAGCUAGAGUACAGGAGAGGAAAGCGGAAUUCCUAGUGUAGCGGUGAAAUGCGUAGAUAUUAGGAAGAACACCAGUGGCGAAGGCGGCCUGCCGGGGUGCGACUGACGCUGAGGCUCGAAGGUGCGGGUAUCAAACAGGAUUAGAUACCCCUGUAGUC